rnacentral:lncRNA from 1 species
UAUAAUGUUGUUGGAUUGUAUCAAUGUCCAGUCCCUUCAGCUUCACCACCGACUCCACAUGCCCUUUCAGAGUGUGAAGCUCUCGAAGCCUAAGCACAAAACCCAAAAUUACUUUUCUUUUCGAACAAAUGCGUAUUUUCAUGGUUAGAUAGAGUAAGUGAAUGUAUACCUUGCCACCUCAGCUCGCCUCUUGGCCUGCUCGGCAAUCUCGGACAACUCUCUGUAGCUACUCUUGUCAUUGAAGAGGUUAGAAGCUUCUGGUGGUUGAAGUCCAUGUAAUGUCCUCUGAGCAAGUGCCCAUUGAGCUUCCCUCUCUUCUUUUCCAUAGUCUUUCUUGGUGGUGAAUGCAGUCUGUCAUUGAGUUCAGAUUUAGUAACCGAGCAACCGGUUUGAAGCUUUUAAAAGUGGUUUAAAGUUAAUGUGUGAUACCUUGUUUUCUAGCAAGUUGAGCCAAGCUUUUCCACUUAAGAUGUAACGAAUGGCGAACUUCAUUAGAUCAAGUGGGAUGUAGAAAACAACACUGUAAAGCCAUAUGACACCGGCCCAUCCCCAUCCUAUUCCUUGAAUCCUUGCAAAUCCCCAGUUAGCAUAUACAGCAAUCACAGUAGCAGC